CAUUUGGUCUGAGGAACAUUGUGCUGGAUCAGCAGCUGCUCAAACUCUUCUGUGUGACUCUCCCAGCUUGUGUCAUCAGAGAUCCAGCACAUCUUUGGAUCAGCUUCAAGGAUGUUCCUGCCUGGGACUGGGGUUCUUAAAAGGCUCACACCCCAAAACCAGGCAGCUAUUUGGAGGCUGAAACCAUGAAGUGACCCUGAGGAUCCCUGAGCUACAGAAUUAUGCACAGGACAAGUUCACACAGCAGAUUAUGAUAAACUGAGUACCAGGAAGCAAGAAAGCUGA